UCUCACUUACAGAGUGAGCCACAGGCAGCCUCACUGGUAGGAACCCUCUCUGCGUGCUCCGCACUAGGGCUAACUGCACACUGGGAGCCCUAGUGUUGGUUUUCUUUUGAAUGCCUGUUCCUGUUCAGAAACCAAGCUUUUUGCCACAGACUCCUCUGCAGAUUCAGAGAAGCAUGCGCUCUCUCUUCUGAAACGCGUGAUAUCAACCACGGCUUCCUUCCACUCUGCAGCCCACCAGCUGAGCUGAGCUGAGCUGAGCGCAGACCUUGAGCACCAGGAGAUCAGAUUCAGUCUGAAAUCCUCCCUCCCUGGGUGAAGUUACAAGGCGGUCAGGGCCAGUCCAGGUUCCAGUAAUGCGAUGCAUUUGCAGAAGGCAGCCGGUGUGUAAUAUGGCUGCAUCUCUCUCUCUGCUUGGCCAAUACAGAGAGGGGUGGCAGGCCGAGUGGUGAAAUGAGAAUACAGGCUCUGGUCAGGCUUCUGCCACGAACCUCAACCGCUAACGAUCGGACUGCGAGGGGUCAGAGGUCACGACAGACUUUUAUUAAACUGGCUGUGCUGGGAUCGCCUCGGGGAACUGUAAACCAGCGGAGGACAGGACCGUGUGAGGGACCCAGAGCUGUGUCCAGCGCUGUGUGACAGAGUGAACAAGGGGCCGGGAGCCUCUUUGCUGGUCUCCGGUGAGGCAGAAUUACACUGGGAGACAGAUGUCAUCCUGGCUUCCACCUGAAAAGGCACAUCUCUCUUCACACAGGGCCGAAGCUGGCAUUGCUGCACAUCGUCCCUGUCCGAUCUGCUUCCGUGUUUCCAUGACUACCAGCUCAGAGACAGCAUCCAGUAGCCACCUGUGGGGUCCCAGUGGUGCCAAAGGUAGAAAAACUCAUAUUCAAAUAGGUAAGGGACAGAGCAGAGAGACACGUGACCAGUGAACUCACCCGUGGGAAUAAAAUUUAAAAACCCCAGCAGACAACGGGGUCUGUUGUAGUGUGGAACUGCAGCGAGGUCAGAGGUGCGACACCUGCAGAGGUAUGUUCAGGUGUGUUCAGGUACGCAGAACUGCACAUUGCUAACAUUCACAGCAUUCCAGUAUGCCUGUGACGAACACGGUAAUUGUGGCUUGUGAAUAAACUGCUCCAUUACCUUUAUCAACACAGGCACUGAGACACAAUGAGGUUACUGUCUCUGUUUGUCAGAAUCCUGGUGUGCUUCAGUUACUCGACUAUGCGUUUUGUAGUACUGCCAGUACAAAUUGUUAAAACCCAAAGGAAAGAAAUAUAAACAUGAUAACCAUGAUAACUCAUGAAUUGGAAUAAUGAUAUAAUCAUAACUGUCUCUCUUUCUCUCUCCUUCUUUCUCCUCCUCUCUACCACUGUCAUACUCCCUCUUUUUUCUCUGUCUCUCUCUCUUUCUUUCUUUCUCCCUUGCUUACACAGACACACAGACACA